GGGUGCUUAGCUCAGUGGUAGAGCGCUACAUUUGCAUUGUAGAGGCCAGGGGUCCGACUCCCCUAGCAUCCA
rfam:Tritrichomonas foetus strain K scaffold_57, whole genome shotgun sequence.